rnacentral:rRNA from 1 species
AAUGAACGCUGGCGGCGCGCCUAAUACAUGCAAGUCGAGCGAGAAGACGUAGCAAUACGUUUGUAAAGCGGCGAACGGGUGAGGAAUACAUGGGUAACCUACCCUCGAGUGGGGAAGUAACUAGCCGAAGGUUAGCUAAUACCGCGUACGCUCCUUGGACUUCGGUUCAGGGAGGAAAGACGAUACCGUGGGUAUCGCGCUCUUGGUUGGGCUCAUGUCCUAUCAGCUUGUUGGUGAGGAACGGCUCACCAAGGCUUCGACGGGUAGCUGGUCUGAGAGGACGAUCAGCCACACUGGCACUGCGACACGGGCCAGACUCCUACGGGAGGCAGCAGUAAGGAAUAUUGCGCAAUGGGCGAAAGCCUGACGCAGCGACGCCGCGUGGGGGA